rnacentral:rRNA from 1 species
UACGUAGGGGGCAAGCGUUGUCCGGAAUCAUUGGGCGUAAAGAGCGUGUAGGCGGCUCGGUAAGUCCGCUGUAAAAGUCCAGGGCUCAACCCUGGAAAGCCGGUGGAAACUGUCGAGCUAGAGUCCGGAAGAGGCGAGUGGAAUUCCUGGUGUAGCGGUGAAAUGCGCAGAUAUCGGGAAGAACACCCGUGGCGAAGGCGGUUCUCUGGGACGGUACUGACGCUGAGACGCGAAAGCGUGGGGAGCGAACAGG